AUACUUACCUGGCAGGGAGAUACCAUGAUCACGAAGGUGGUUUUCCCAGGGCGAGGCUUAUCCAUUGCACUCCGGAUGUGCUGACCCCUGCGAUUUCCCCAAAUGUGGGAAACUCGACUGCAUAAUUUGUGGUAGUGGGGGACUGCGUUCGCGCUUUCCCCUG
ensembl:snRNA U1 U1 spliceosomal RNA